AUCGCUUCUCGGCCUUUUGGCUAAGAUCAAGUGUAGUAUCUGUUCUCAUCAGGCAGUCCACUGUUGGAAUGGAUGGCUGCAUGGAGGAGCAGGUGUGUUGUGCUGGGGUGUUCCUGGACUGGCGCCCAACCAGCUCUACGGCUGUCCUGAUGUGACCUGUUUCCUUCGGGUCUCGCCAUGAGGCA